rnacentral:rRNA from 1 species
AGGACGAACGCUGGCGGCGCGCUUAACACAUGCAAGUCGAGCGAGAACCAGGCCUUCGGGCCUGGGGAAAGCGGCGAACGGGUGAGUAACACGUGGGUAACCCACCCUUGGUACCGGGAUAGCCCGAGGAAACUCGGAUUAAUACCGGAUGGCCCAACAGCUCUUCGGGGCGGUUGGAAAAGGUAGCUUCGGCCUCCGACCAAGGACGGGCCCGCGGCGGAUUAGCUUGUUGGUGAGGUAACGGCUCACCAAGGCGACGAUCCGUAGCUGGUCUGAGAGGACGAUCAGCCACACUGGGACUGAGACACGGCCCAGACUCCUACGGGAGGCAGCAGUGGGGAAUAUUGGACAAUGGGCGCAAGCCUGAUCCAGCAAUGCCGCGUGAGUGAUGAAGGCCUUAGGGUUGUAAAGCUCGUUUCGGCGGGGACGAUGAUGACGGUACCCGCAGAAGAAGCCCCGGCUAACUUCGUGCCAGCAGCCGC